UGGCGGACGGGUGAGUAACGCGUGGGUAACCUGCCUUAUACAGGGGGAUAACAGUCAGAAAUGGCUGCUAAUACCGCAUAAGCGCACAGAGCUGCAUGGCUCGGUGUGAAAAACUCCGGUGGUAUAAGAUGGACCCGCGUUGGAUUAGCUUGUUGGUGGGGUAACGGCCCACCAAGGCGACGAUUGGUAGCCGGACUGAGAGGUUGAACGGCCACAUUGGGACUGAGACACGGCCCAGACUCCUACGGGAGGCAGCAUG
rnacentral:rRNA from 1 species